rnacentral:lncRNA from 1 species
GGUUCCCCCAGCAGGACACGGAGUGAAAGUUAUGAUGCCCUGGGAUGAUCAGGAGUCCUGAAGUGUGUGAGCUGAGGUCAGCGUCCCGUCCAGAUCCUCGGGGUAAAAGUAGUGGCCGAAGUCCUUGGCAGCAUUCUGGAAGCAGUACUCUACAGGGGGAGGGAUGGCAACUAGAGUCAGCCAGGACUCUCUCUGGAUCACUGUUUACCAUGGCACUCCAUCUGCUCCUGCUGCUCACAGCUCUGAGGGGCCGCUCAGCUCACCAGCAGGGUUGAAGCUGAAGGUUAGAGAGUCCUCGUCCACCGUGGUGAAGUUACCAUUGUAGCACAGUAUGUGAUCUGUCGGAAAUAAAAGAGGAGAAAAACAC